ACCCAGUUACAAUUUUUAAUAUUACAUUACGUGUAUAUCAAAAUUAAUUAAUUUAUUAAUAUUCCUGGUGUAAAAUUGUUAAAACUACGCUUAAGCCGAAAUGAUGGUGAGUAAAAUAUAAUUCUCUGUUUGAUUCAGGUUUGAGCAACUCUCUCAGUUGACGUAGAUUAUAAGUGAUCUGGCGUUUAUUAAAUAUGUCAAAGAUUACAGAGGAGUUUAUUUUAUUCAUAAGUACCUUUUUAAAGAAAAUUAUGAUUAUAAUUUAAUUGAACAAAUGUAACAUAAUUCGCGAGUAGUCAUGUUUCCAGUAUUGUAUGGUUGCAGCAUUUUUGUCAUAAGAAGAAAGAUGUUUGAGAAAUCUAUGUUGAAUAGACUCAAGGCUACGAAUAUCUACCUCAAAUGCCACAAGUGUUACCAAAAGAAUCAUAUCCAUUUACAAUACGAAGUGGGCUACCAUAAACAAAAGAGAAUGUCGCUAUUACAAUC